rnacentral:misc_RNA from 1 species
GGACUACUCAUUCCAAUAUGAGAUUCAUAUAUUCUCAGCGACUUUGGUUUCUUUGGCCGUGGGUGUUGGAAGAUAUACCUCUCCUCUUCGGGUGGAUCAUAAUAUAUUCCAUUAUAUGGGAUUUCAUCAGGAAGCUGUAAAGAGUAGUUGAUCCAAGCAGGAAUGGAAUCCUUAACACCUGAUGGAGUGUCCAUACGUAUCUUCACUCUGGACCCAUGAGGAAUUGCAGGAGAACCAUCCACAUUAUUUGGCAGAAAAAUCUCCCAGACACCAAAU